UUGGAUUUUUUGUGGGUUUUUUUGGCAUUGAGUUAUAUAAAUUCUUUAUGUGUUUUGGAUAGUAACCCUUUAUCAAAUGUGUUAUUUGCAAAUAUCUUCUCCCAUUCAGUAGGUUGUCUUUUUGCUUUGAUGAUUGUGGUUUUUCAUUGUUGUUGUUUUGUUUUGCUCUGAAGUUUUUUAUUUUGAUGUAGUCUCUAUAGUUUAUUUUUGCUUUCUUUUCCUUGCCUCAGAAGAUAUAUCUAGAAAAAUAUUUUAUGACUGAUGUCAGAAAAAUUACCGCCUGUGCUCUCUUCUAGGGUUUUUGUAGAUUCGGGUCUCACAUUUAGGUCCUUAAUCCAUUUUGAGUUUAUUUUUGUAUAUGGUUUAAGAAAGCAGUCCCAUUUCAUUCUUUUGCAUGUAGCUGUCCAGUUUUCCCAACAACUUGUUGAAGAGGCUUUUUCCGGUUGCAUAGUCACGACUCUUUUGUCAAAGAUUAAUUGAUCACUUAAUCAUGGGUUUAUUUCUGUUCUGUUGAUCUUCGUGUCUAUUUUUAUGCCAGUAUCAUACUGUUUUGAUUGCUACAGCUUUGUAGUAUAUCUUGAUAUCUGGGAUUCUGAUACCUCCAGGUUUGUUCUUCUUUUUCAAGACUGCUUUGCUAUUCGGGGUCUUCUGUGGUUCUAUACAAAUUUUAGGAUUAUUUGUUCUGGUUCUGUGAAAAAUGCUGUUGGUAUUCUGAUAGGGAUUGCUUUAAAUCCAUAGGUUGUUUUGGGUAGUAUGGACAUUUUAACAAUAUUUGUUCUCCCAAUCCAUGAGCAUGGAAUAUCUUUCCAUUUGUUUAUGCCAUCUUCAAUUUCAGCGUUUUAUAAUUUUUCAGAGUUCUGGUCUUUCACCUCUUUGGGUAAGGUUUAUUCCUAGGUAUUUUAUUAAUUUUGAUGCAAUUGUAAAUAUUUUAUUAAUUUCUUUUUCUGCUACAUAGUGUGUAGAAAUGUUAUGAAUUUCUGUAUAUUGAUUUUGUAUCCUACAAUUGUACUGAAUUCAUUUAUCAGUUCCUAGUAGCUUUUUGGUGGAGUCUUUAGGAUUUUCUAUAUAUCUAUCAUAUCAUCUGCAAGUUAAACACCUUGCAUACUUGGGUUAAAUUCCACUUGGUUAUAUAGUAUAUAGUUCUAUUUAUAUAUUAUUGGCAUGAAUACUUAUUUAACUUCCUAUUUACCCUUCUAACUUUAUGAAUUGGAAGAGAAAAUUUCCUAGGUAUUUAAAAAGAUCCAAAUAUCAGCAACUGUUGGUUCAUGUCCUGGAAUGAAUACGAAGUUUACAUUUUCACAUUAAUUUUGAUUCCUUUAUUGAAUUCUACAGAUAACAAAGCUGGAGAUUUUCUCUUUGAAGAAAAUGAUGAUGGUGAUGAUCAGAUUCUCUACAAUCUUGCACUUACCUAAAAUUUGAUGUUAUGGUCAAAAUUUACAUUCAUCUUAUUUUAAAGGAUAUUUAGUAAUGUGGUUUUAGGAUUUCAAGUAUGUACAAUUGGUAAAUAUUUCAGCACCCAGUGAUCCAUGUUUUGCCUUUCAUUUUUUAUUCAAAUAGGACCGAGAUGCUAUUAUUCCCAAGUUAGGGACUUAGAGACUGAGGUCUAGAAAUUAGGAAAGCUGAGGAUCAGUCUUGAUUUUGUGCCUUAAUCACUUUUAAAUUAUUGCAUUUUAUAGUUGAAUCAUUUCUUUACCUUGGAGUUGUAAAGUGAAGACAGGAAGAUCACCCACACAUUAAGUAAUUUAUUCAAAAUCUACUGAGUGCCAGCUAUAUACCAGGAACUAUGAUAAACGUUAAGGAUACAAAGAUGAAUAAAAUGAAGCAUCUGUCUUAGAGGAGCUCACAGUUCAAUGAAGAAGCAUACAGAGUGUUUUCUUACACGAGUCUCAGCAAAAUUCCUGUAGUACGGAUAUGGUUCUUCCCAUUUCACAUGUGAGAAAUCUGAGCGCAGAAAAUUUCCACCACAGUCAAGGCAACCAGUGGACAAGAUGUGGACGAUGAAGCUACAUCAGAACUGAAAGGGG